rnacentral:tRNA from 1 species
GGCAAGAUGGCCGAGCGGUCUAAGGCGCUACGUUCAGGUGUUCAGUUGAUCUGGGUAACCACGUUUCGUAGUCUCGAAAGAGGCGCGAGUUCGAAUCUCGUUCUUGUCA